CCUUCGGGGUGCAGCAGUGAGGAAUAUUGGGCAAUGGAGGAAACUCCGACCCAGCCAUGCCGCGUGAGUGAAGAAGGUUUUCGAAUUGUAAAGCUCUUUCGGCUGUGAAGAUGAUGACGGUAACCUCUAAAGACUCCCCGGCAAACUUCGUGCCAGCAGCCGCGGUCAGACGAAGGGGGCAAGCGUUGUUCGGAAUUACUUGGCGUAAAGGGUGUGUAGGCGGGAAAGUAAGAUAGGGGUGAAAUGCCUGAGCUCAACUUGGGAACUGCCAUUAUAACUAUUUUUCUAGAGUGACAGAGAGGAUAUUGGAAUACCCAGUGUAGAGGUGAAAUUCGUAGAUAUUGGGUAGAACACCGGAGGCGAAGGCGAGUAGCUGGAUGUCAACUGACGCUGAGGCACGAAAGCAUGGGGAUCAAACAGGAUUAGAUACCCGUGUAGUC
rnacentral:rRNA from 1 species